rnacentral:tRNA from 1 species
GGAACGAGGCUCAGUGGUAGAGCAUUUGUCUAGUGUGUGCAAGGCCCUGGGUUCAGUUCCCAGUACCA